UCGAGUCACCUUUCUGUGUGACCUUUCUUUACAUACCAAGAAGCGCUCGUUCAACGGGCGCUUGGUAUAGGCUGGUUUUUUCUCAUACCCGUUUCUGCGGAAACGAUCCCGACGGUGGAACUCUCCACGUGGUUUUGCGAAACCUAACCUCCAAUUCGGAACCGAUCCUGCAACCGGGCACCCCUCGUGUCCCCUGCUCCGCUCGUGCGUGCUGCUAAGGCCCGCCUUUCGAGGCAGUCAAACGGAGGUCGAGGUAAUUCGCUAAAGUUAUCGUUUGCGAGAUACCCAUCGGUCGCCAAUUGCCGAUUGGAAGUUAGGAUCCCAACCCGCUACAACCCCCCUCGUGGAUCCGCCGAGAGCGUACGCCGACAAAUGCGUACAAUAAAGUGUCUGGAUUCGUUUGAGUUUUAACUUAAAGCCUCCAAUGGUGGGGUGUUCGUUUGCUCUUACUUGACGACGACACUGUCCGGACCUGCGCCGACCUCGUGUCGAACGCGCCGCGCGGCAUUCCGUGCCGAACGCGCCGAGCUUAGCUCGUGUAAAGCUCUCGAGUAACAACCCGAAGAAAUCGGAAGUCUUCCGUCCAGCCGAGCCUCCCUCCGCAACGUUAAGUACGGCCAUACGCGCACGAGCACACCGGCUGUCGCCCAAGUUCAGCCCUGGAGUCCCGCUCCACCUUAACAAACUCAUCGCGCCGAGGAUAAACAUCGCGGCGAAUCGAAGAACCCCUCGCCGAAGCUGCCAGCAUUACCAGGACGCAGCCAUCGCCGCCGCCGUCACCGCUGCUGUGGUUGCCGCGGUCACCACCACCAACGUACGCAACGCAUCAUAAACCCUGCGCAGGUAUGCUAGUAUUAGUCAUGGCCAUGUACAAUACGAGUUUUCCCCCUAUGCCACCCCGCUUAACCGAACGAGACUUUUCUUUAGCAUAAUGUAAAUACACUGUGAAAUGAAUUCACCCAUUCCUCUUUGGUAUUAAAGAUAAAUUAAAUUUCCCAUUGAAAUGCCUUGAAUAAAUCACCGUUUUUCCUUA